rnacentral:rRNA from 1 species
CCAGCAGCCGCGGUAAUUCCAGCUCCAAUAGCGUAUAUUAAAGUUGUUGCAGUUAAAAAGCUCGUAGUUGGAUUUGUGGUUUACGCAAGGCUCUCGUCCAUCUUUGGUUUCGAUGUUGCCUGGCGUUGCCAUCCUUGGGUGGAAUCUGUGUGGCAUUAGGUUGUCGUGCAGGGGAUGCCCAUCGUUUACUGUGAAAAAAUUAGAGUGUUCAAAGCAGGCUUAUGCCGUUGAAUAUGUUAGCAUGGAAUAAUGAUAUAGGACCUUGGUACUAUUUUGUUGGUUUGCGCACCGAGGUAAUGAUUAACAGGGUCAACUGGGGAUAUUCGUAUUCCGCUGUCAGAGGUGAAAUUCUUGGAUUUUUGGAAGACGAACUACUGCGAAAGCAUUUAUCAAGGAUGUUUUCAUUAAUCAAGAACGAAAGU